UUAUUUUAUCAAAUACAAAAUGGAUAAAACUGAUGGCAUAAUUUGAAAUACAGUAAAUAUGAGUUGUAUAACAUAAUUGUGUAACCAUCACUGGAAAGUGCCCUUCGGGUAACAGGUGCCACAGAAAUGGCAACAGUGGCGAACCGGGUGGCACGUCAAGCCUUUCUAAAGGCUAAAACUGUGCAAAAUUCAACUCAGGCUAAUUUUGGCAGUUUUAAUAAUCCUACACCAAAAGGAGCUAAGAUUGUUGGUUUAAUAGCUGGUGCCACAGCAGC